AUUCAGAAUUUGGGAUGCAUGACUUCUCUGGGGAUUGCUACCGGUUAAUCCAAACAGCAUGAUAUAUUGAGCGUGUAAAAAUAAGUUGUUACAUCAUUGAGAACUCUCAAAUGUAUGGUACACAAAAAAUAACAUAUUAAACCACAAUGGAAAAGCAGAUUAUAAAUUUUAUAGGAUUCAUCUAUACCACAAUUAACCAUAUCUCCCAUUCAGGAUUCAGUGCAAGAAAAAAUCCACCAUAUUAUUAGUUGCUUCUCAUUUAUCAGAGACUCAGGGUCAAAUUUUAGUGGAUCAAGAUCUUUCAUAUGUUCGUGGUAAAUACAAGAUGCAGUGACAUCUUAACAAGCUCCAACUCCCCUCCUCCCGCCCCCUUCUCUCCCUGUCCUCUCUCUCUCUUAGUUAUUUGCUUAGUUGCCAAAAGGCAAAGGAAGAUAAAAUUGCAAAAGCAUAUACCUGCGUUCAUGGUACAAGUGGCUGAGAAGACAUUGUAGCUGACAUAUUUGGAAUCUUGGUUGACCUCCAGUUAUCAAGGCAUGACCUAUGAACAUACUUC
rnacentral:misc_RNA from 1 species